rnacentral:rRNA from 1 species
GAAAACUACGAGCAUUAGCUUAAAACUUAAUGGGCUUGGCGGUGCUUUAAACCCCCCUAGAGGAGCCUGUCCUGCAAUUAAUAAUCCCCGUUAAACCUUACCUUCUUUAGUAUUACAGCUUGUAUACCUCCAUCGUCAGUUUACCCCUUAAAGGCAAUAAAGUAAACGAAACCGCUUUUACCCCCAAACGCUAGGUCAAGGUGCAGUUAAUAAGAAGGGAAGAGAUGGGCUACAUUUCCUAAUUAGGAAACUACGGAUAAUGCAAUGAAACUUGCAUCUUGAAGGUGGAUUUAGCAGUAAGUAAAAAUCAGAGUGUUUUACUGAAGUAGGCUCUAAAGCGCGCACACACCGCCCGUCGCUCUCUCUUCAUUUCUUUUUCAAACGAUACAUAAUAAAACUUUUCUAAUAUAGGAGAGAAAAGUCGUAACAUGGUAAGUGUACUGGAAAGUGCACUUGGAAAAACAUAU